rnacentral:snRNA from 1 species
UAUUGCUUCGGCAAUACAUAUAAUGAAAUUGUAACGAUACAGAGAAGAUUAGUAUGGCCCCUGCGCAAGGAUGACACGCAAAUUCGUGAAGCGUUCCAUAUUUCU